UGGGCAACCUGCCCUCAGCUCUGGGAUAACUCCAAGAAAUUGGGGCUAAUACCGGAUAUGACCGCUGACCGCAUGGUCUGGUGGUGGAAAGAUUUAUCGGCUGGGGAUGGGCCCGCGGCCUAUCAGCUUGUUGGUGGGGUAGUGGCCUACCAAGGCGACGACGGGUAGCCGGCCUGAGAGGGUGACCCGGCCACACUGGGACUGAGACACGGCCCAGACUCCGUACGGGA
rnacentral:rRNA from 1 species